CUACGGGCCGCUGCAGUGGGGAAUAUUGCACAAUGGAGGAAACUCUGAUGCAGCAACGCCGCGUGGAGGAUGACACUUUUCGGAGCGUAAACUCCUUUUAUAUAGGAAGAAGAUGACGGUACUAUAUGAAUAAGCGCCGGCUAACUCCGUGCCAGCAGCCGCGGUAAUACGGAGGGCGCAAGCGUUACUCGGAAUCACUGGGCGUAAAGAGCGUGUAGGCGGAUUAAAAAGUCAGAAGUGAAAUCCUAUAGCUUAACUAUAGAACUGCUUCUGAAACUCUUAAUCUAGAAUAUGGGAGAGGUAGAUGGAAUUUCUGGUGUAGGGGUAAAAUCCGUAGAGAUCAGAAGGAAUACCGAUUGCGAAGGCGAUCUACUAGAGCAUUAUUGACGCUGAGACGCGAAAGCGUGGGGAGCAAACAGGAUUAGAUACCCUAGUAGUC
rnacentral:rRNA from 1 species